GAUGAACGCUGGCGGCGUGCCUAAUACAUGCAAGUCGAGCGAACAGACGAGGAGCUUGCUCCUUUGACGUUAGCGGCGGACGGGUGAGUAACACGUGGGUAACCUACCUAUAAGACUGGGAUAACUUCGGGAAACCGGAGCUAAUACCGGAUAAUAUUUCGAACCGCAUGGUUCGAUAGUGAAAGAUGGCUUUGCUAUCACUUAUAGAUGGACCUGCGCCGUAUUAGCUAGUUGGUAAGGUAACGGCUUACCAAGGCAACGAUACGUAGCCGACCUGAGAGGGUGAUCGGCCACACUGGAACUGAGACACGGUCCAGACUCCUACGGGAGGCAGCAGUAGGGAAUCUUCCGCAAUGGGCGAAAGCCUGACGGAGCAACGCCGCGUGAGUGAUGAAGGUCUUCGGAUCGUAAAACUCUGUUAUUAGGGAAGAACAAACGUGUAAGUAACUGUGCACGUCUUGACGGUACCUAAUCAGAAAGCCACGGCUAACUACGUC
rnacentral:rRNA from 1 species